rnacentral:rRNA from 1 species
UGGGGAAUAUUGGGCAAUGGGGGCAACCCUGACCCAGCGACGCCGCGUGGGGGAGGACGGCCUUCGGGUUGUAAACCUCUUUUGUACGGGAAGAAGGAAGUGACGGUACUGUACGAAUAAGUCCCGGCUAACUACGUGCCAGCAGCCGCGGUAAUACGUAGGGGACGAGCGUUGUCCGGAAUUACUGGGCGUAAAGGGCGCGCAGGCUGUGCUGCAAGUCAGCUGUUAAAUGUCUGGGCUUAACCCGGGCAUGCGGUUGAGACUGCAGUGCUGGAGUGCUGUAGAGGCAAAUGGAAUUCCCAGUGUAGCGGUGAAAUGCGUAGAUAUUGGGAAGAACACCGGUGGCGAAGGCGACUUGCUGGGCAGCAACUGACGCUGAGGCGCGAAAGCCAGGGGAGCAAACGG